rnacentral:rRNA from 1 species
GAAUUCGCCCUUAGAGUUUGAUCCUGGCUCAGGAUGAACGUUGGCGGUGUGCUUAAUACAUGCAAGUCGAACGGUGACGAUUUUGUAGCAAUACGAAUGAAAUCAUAGUGGCGAACGGGUGAGUAACGCGUUGGUGAUCUGCCUCGAAGUGUGGAAUAACUUCCCGAAAGGGUAGCUAAUACCGCAUAGUCUCUCAAGGUUUAGAAAAUUGAGAGUAAAGGAUUUAUUCGCUUCGAGAGGAGCCUGCGUCCCAUCAGCUAGUUGGUAGGGUAAUAGCCUACCAAGGCAAUGACGGGUAGGGGACCUGAGAGGGUGGCCCCCCACAAUGGAACUGAAACACGGUCCAUACACCUACGGGUGGCAGCAGUAGGGAAUAUUAGAAAUGGGCGAAAGCCUGAUCUAGCAACACCGCGUGUGCGAUGAAGGCCUUCGGGUUGUAAAGCACUUUUUGGAGGGAAUAGGAAGGAAGGUACCUCCAGAAUAAGUCUCGGCUAACUACGUGCCAGCAGCCGCGGUAACACGUAGGAGGCAAACGUUAUCCGGAUUCACUGGGCGUAAAGCGCGUGUAGGUGGUUCUGUAAGUAGGGCGUGAAAGCUCCCGGCUCAACUGGGAGAGGCCGUACUAAACUGCAGAGCUAGAGGAUGGUAGAGGGAGGUGGAAUUCCUGGUGGAGCGGUAAAAUGCGCAGAGAUCAGGAGGAACACCGGUGGCGAAGGCGACUUUCUGGCUGACAACUGACGCUGAGGCGCGAAAGCGUGGGGAGCAAACAGAAGUAGAUACCCUGGUAGUCCACGCCGUAAACGAUGAUUACUGGGUGUAGGGGGUAUCGACUCCCUCUGUGCCGAAGCUAACGCGAUAAGUAAUCCACCUGGGGAAUACGGCCGCAAGGCUAAAACUCAAAGGAAUUGACGGGGGCCCGCACAAGCAGUGGAGUAUGUGGUUUAAUUCGAGGCAACGCGAAGAACCUUACCAGGGUUUGACAUCCCGCGCAAUGGGUAGAGAUACCCGGUUCCCUUCGGGGACGCGGAGACAGGUGGUGCAUGGUUGUCGUCAGCUCGUGUCGUGAGAUGUUCGGUUAAGUCCGGCAACGAGCGCAACCCUCGUGGCCAGUUGCCAUCAUUUAGUUGGGCACUUUGGCCAGACUGCCGUUGACAAAACGGAGGAAGGUGGGGAGGACGUCAAAUCAUCAUGCCCCUUAUGUCUUGGGGUACACACGUACUACAAUGGGCGGUACAACGGGCAGCCACACCGCGAGGUGGAGCGAAUCCCCAAAGGCGUCCCCAGUUCGGAUUGCAGGCUGAAACUCGCCUGCAUGAAGCCGGAAUUGCUAGUAAUGGCAGGUCAGCAUACUGC